CAAUCAAACCGGGAGAUAGCUGGUUCUCCCCGAAAGCUAUUUAGGUAGCGCCUCGUGAAUUCAUCUCCGGGGGUAGAGCACUGUUUCGGCUAGGGGGCCAUCCCGGCUUACCAACCCGAUGCAAACUGCGAAUACCGGAGAAUGUUAUCACGGGAGACACACGGCGGGUGCUAACGUCCGUCGUGAAGAGGGAAACAACCCAGACCGCCAGCUAAGGUCCCAAAGUCAUGGUUAAGUGGGAAACGAUGUGGGAAGGCCCAGACAGCCAGGAUGUUGGCUUAGAAGCAGCCAUCAUUUAAAGAAAGCGUAAUAGCUCACUGGUCGAGUCGGCCUGCGCGGAAGAUGUAACGGGGCUAAACCAUGCACCGAAGCUGCGGCAGCGAACGUAUCACCCAAGACAACUUUACGGAGUUGACGAUUGACGGAGCGAAGCGACGUCAAAGCGUUCAUUAAAGUCGAGUUGGCUUAGGGAUACGUUCGUUGGGUAGGGGAGCGUUCUGUAAGCCUGUGAAGGUGUGUCGUGAGGCAUGCUGGAGGUAUCAGAAGUGCGAAUGCUGACAUAAGUAACGAUAAAGCGGGUGAAAAGCCCGCUCGCCGGAAGACCAAGGGUUCCUGUCCAACGUUAAUCGGGGCAGGGUGAGUCGACCCCUAAGGCGAGGCCGAAAGGCGUAGUCGAUGGGAAACGGGUUAAUAUUCCCGUACUUGGUGUUACUGCGAAGGGGGGACGGAGAAGGCUAUGUUGGCCGGGCGACGGUUGUCCCGGUUUAAGCGUGUAGGUGUGUGUUCCAGGUAAAUCCGGUUCACUUUAACACUGAGGCGUGAUGACGAGGCACUACGGUGCUGAAGCAACAAAUGCCCUGCUUCCAGGAAAAGCCUCUAAGCAU
rnacentral:rRNA from 1 species